AUCUUUGCGCUUUGGGCAAUGACGCAGUUAGUGAAGUGAAACCCAGAUGCGUCAAUUGCUGGUUGAAAACUUUUUCCAAUAAAUUCAAUGAUUAUUUAAAAAAAUUCAAAAUA
rnacentral:snRNA from 1 species